rnacentral:misc_RNA from 1 species
GUGAAACAAGCGAAGUCUUAGAAUUAUUACAAUUUAUUGAUAUUUACAAAUAUGCAUACAAAUACAACUAAUGUAUAAAUACACAUUUAAAGAAAACUUAGUAUUAUUAAAUAAGUGCAAGUUGGCCAAACAGACGCUCGAAUAUUUUUCAAUUUUUCAUUUUUAUUGCCUCAAAACAAAAAUAUUUAUCAUUGUAAUACAUAGCAAUUAACAAAGUUCAAUUAAAU